rnacentral:rRNA from 1 species
UGCCCCAUAGUCUGGGAUACCACUUGGAAACAGGUGCUAAUACCGGAUAAGAAAGCGGAUCGCAUGACCAGCUUUUAAAAGGCGGCGUAAGCUGUCGCUAUGGGAUGGCCCCGCGGUGCAUUAGCUAGUUGGUAAGGUAAAGGCUUACCAAGGCGAUGAUGCAUAGCCGAGUUGAGAGACUGAUCGGCCACAUUGGGACUGAGACACGGCCCAAACUCCUACGGGAGGCAGCAGGC